rnacentral:siRNA from 1 species
AUGCAUUAGUUUGACAAGUUGUGU